rnacentral:rRNA from 1 species
UAGGGAAUCUUCGGCAAUGGGGGGAACCCUGACCGAGCAACGCCGCGUGAGUGAAGAAGGUUUUCGGAUCGUAAAGCUCUGUUGUUAAGGAAGAACGAGUGUGAGAAUGGAAAGUUCAUACUGUGACGGUACUUAACCAGAAAGGGACGGCUAACUACGUGCCAGCAGCCGCGGUAAUACGUAGGUCCCGAGCGUUGUCCGGAUUUAUUGGGCGUAAAGCGAGCGCAGGCGGUUAGAUAAGUCUGAAGUUAAAGGCAGUGGCUCAACCAUUGUAGGCUUUGGAAACUGUUUAACUUGAGUGCAGAAGGGGAGAGUGUAAUUCCAUGUGUAGCGGUGAAAUGCGUAGAUAUAUGGAGGAACACCGGUGGCGAAAGCGGCUCUCUGGUCUGUAACUGACGCUGAGGCUCGAAAGCGUGGGGAGCGAACAGG